UCUGAGGGCUGGGCUCGGG
rnacentral:siRNA from 1 species